rnacentral:rRNA from 1 species
GGUUAAGCGACUAAGCGUACACGGUGGAUGCCCUGGCAGUCAGAGGCGAUGAAGGACGUGCUAAUCUGCGAUAAGCGUCGGUAAGGUGAUAUGAACCGUUAUAACCGGCGAUUUCCGAAUGGGGAAACCCAGUGUGAUUCGUCACACUAUCAUUAACUGAAUCCAUAGGUUAAUGAGGCGAACCGGGGGAACUGAAACAUCUAAGUACCCCGAGGAAAAGAAAUCAACCGAGAUUCCCCCAGUAGCGGCGAGCGAACGGGGAGCAGCCCAGAGCCUGAAUCAGUGUGUGUGUUAGUGGAAGCGUCUGGAAAGGCGCGCGAUACAGGGUGACAGCCCCGUACACAAAAAUGCACAUGCUGUGAGCUCGAUGAGUAGGGCGGGACACGUGGUAUCCUGUCUGAAUAUGGGGGGACCAUCCUCCAAGGCUAAAUACUCCUGACUGACCGAUAGUGAACCAGUACCGUGAGGGAAAGGCGAAAAGAACCCCGGCGAGGGGAGUGAAAAAGAACCUGAAACCGUGUACGUACAAGCAGUGGGAGCACGCUUUUAUGUGUGUGACUGCGUACCUUUUGUAUAAUGGGUCAGCGACUUAUAUUCUGUAGCAAGGUUAACCGAAUAGGGGAGCCGAAGGGAAACCGAGUCUUAACUGGGCGUUAAGUUGCAGGGUAUAGACCCGAAACCCGGUGAUCUAGCCAUGGGCAGGUUGAAGGUUGGGUAACACUAACUGGAGGACCGAACCGACUAAUGUUGAAAAAUUAGCGGAUGACUUGUGGCUGGGGGUGAAAGGCCAAUCAAACCGGGAGAUAGCUGGUUCUCCCCGAAAGCUAUUUAGGUAGCGCCUCGUGAAUUCAUCUCCGGGGGUAGAGCACUGUUUCGGCAAGGGGGUCAUCCCGACUUACCAACCCGAUGCAAACUGCGAAUACCGGAGAAUGUUAUCACGGGAGACACACGGCGGGUGCUAACGUCCGUCGUGAAGAGGGAAACAACCCAGACCGCCAGCUAAGGUCCCAAAGUCAUGGUUAAGUGGGAAACGAUGUGGGAAGGCCCAGACAGCCAGGAUGUUGGCUUAGAAGCAGCCAUCAUUUAAAGAAAGCGUAAUAGCUCACUGGUCGAGUCGGCCUGCGCGGAAGAUGUAACGGGGCUAAACCAUGCACCGAAGCUGCGGCAGCGACGCUUAUGCGUUGUUGGGUAGGGGAGCGUUCUGUAAGCCUGCGAAGGUGUGCUGUGAGGCAUGCUGGAGGUAUCAGAAGUGCGAAUGCUGACAUAAGUAACGAUAAAGCGGGUGAAAAGCCCGCUCGCCGGAAGACCAAGGGUUCCUGUCCAACGUUAAUCGGGGCAGGGUGAGUCGACCCCUAAGGCGAGGCCGAAAGGCGUAGUCGAUGGGAAACAGGUUAAUAUUCCUGUACUUGGUGUUACUGCGAAGGGGGGACGGAGAAGGCUAUGUUGGCCGGGCGACGGUUGUCCCGGUUUAAGCGUGUAGGCUGGUUUUCCAGGCAAAUCCGGAAAAUCAAGGCUGAGGCGUGAUGACGAGGCACUACGGUGCUGAAGCAACAAAUGCCCUGCUUCCAGGAAAAGCCUCUAAGCAUCAGGUAACAUCAAAUCGUACCCCAAACCGACACAGGUGGUCAGGUAGAGAAUACCAAGGCGCUUGAGAGAACUCGGGUGAAGGAACUAGGCAAAAUGGUGCCGUAACUUCGGGAGAAGGCACGCUGAUAUGUAGGUGAAGUCCCUCGCGGAUGGAGCUGAAAUCAGUCGAAGAUACCAGCUGGCUGCAACUGUUUAUUAAAAACACAGCACUGUGCAAACACGAAAGUGGACGUAUACGGUGUGACGCCUGCCCGGUGCCGGAAGGUUAAUUGAUGGGGUCAGCGCAAGCGAAGCUCUUGAUCGAAGCCCCGGUAAACGGCGGCCGUAACUAUAACGGUCCUAAGGUAGCGAAAUUCCUUGUCGGGUAAGUUCCGACCUGCACGAAUGGCGUAAUGAUGGCCAGGCUGUCUCCACCCGAGACUCAGUGAAAUUGAACUCGCUGUGAAGAUGCAGUGUACCCGCGGCAAGACGGAAAGACCCCGUGAACCUUUACUAUAGCUUGACACUGAACAUUGAGCCUUGAUGUGUAGGAUAGGUGGGAGGCUUUGAAGUGUGGACGCCAGUCUGCAUGGAGCCGACCUUGAAAUACCACCCUUUAAUGUUUGAUGUUCUAACGUUGACCCGUAAUCCGGGUUGCGGACAGUGUCUGGUGGGUAGUUUGACUGGGGCGGUCUCCUCCUAAAGAGUAACGGAGGAGCACGAAGGUUGGCUAAUCCUGGUCGGACAUCAGGAGGUUAGUGCAAUGGCAUAAGCCAGCUUGACUGCGAGCGUGACGGCGCGAGCAGGUGCGAAAGCAGGUCAUAGUGAUCCGGUGGUUCUGAAUGGAAGGGCCAUCGCUCAACGGAUAAAAGGUACUCCGGGGAUAACAGGCUGAUACCGCCCAAGAGUUCAUAUCGACGGCGGUGUUUGGCACCUCGAUGUCGGCUCAUCACAUCCUGGGGCUGAAGUAGGUCCCAAGGGUAUGGCUGUUCGCCAUUUAAAGUGGUACGCGAGCUGGGUUUAGAACGUCGUGAGACAGUUCGGUCCCUAUCUGCCGUGGGCGCUGGAGAACUGAGGGGGGCUGCUCCUAGUACGAGAGGACCGGAGUGGACGCAUCACUGGUGUUCGGGUUGUCAUGCCAAUGGCACUGCCCGGUAGCUAAAUGCGGAAGAGAUAAGUGCUGAAAGCAUCUAAGCACGAAACUUGCCCCGAGAUGAGUUCUCCCUGACUCCUUGAGAGUCCUGAAGGAACGUUGAAGACGACGACGUUGAUAGGCCGGGUGUGUAAGCGCAGCGAUGCGUUGAGCUAACCGGUACUAAUGAACCGUGAGGCUUAACCUU